rnacentral:misc_RNA from 1 species
GAAAUGCGAUAAGUAAUGUGAAUUGCAGAAUUCAGUGAAUCAUCGAAUCUUUGAACGCACCUUGCGCUCCUUGGUAUUCCUUGGAGCAUGCCUAUUUGAGUAUCAUGAAAUCUUCAAAGUAAAUCUUUUGUUAACUCAAUUGGUUUCUACUUUGGUAUUGGAGGUCUUUGCAGCUUCACACCUGCUCCUCUUUGUUCAUUAGCUGGAUCUCAGUGUUAUGCUUGGUUCCACUCGGCGUGAUAAGUUAUCUAUCGCUGAGGACACUGUAAAAGGUGGCCAAGGUAAAUGCAGAUGAACCGCUUCUAAUAGUCCAUUGACUUGGACAAUACUUUUAUGAUCUGAUCUCAAAUCAGGUAGGACUACCCGCUGAACUGAAG